rnacentral:sRNA from 1 species
UUGAAAUGCAAUGUCCAGUGGCGGAUGG